GGAAGGGGCGGGGCGUGCGAGCCUGAGGGGAUCUUGGGCGGUGAGCUGCCGUGGGAGCUCGCUACGGACUGACUGGAGGAAGUACCAGGCUUAGGGUACUGCUGGGACUAUAAGGAUAUGCUCAUGAACUUGCCUGAAUUCAAAAUACUGGGCCAUCUCUUCAGUGAAGAGAUCUUCUAAUCUCUUGACCCAGCAUCAUGAAAUAUGGGACACUGUGUAGCUGAGGUAUUGGCUGGAACAUACGGAGGCCUGACACCAGCAAGCUGUUGGGAAGAACUCAUCCUUUGGGAUGGAGCCUGGAUGUGCUGCGAACCUGUUACAGAGUCCCAUGGUUCUGCUCAUUCCGAAAGCAAAGCCAUACGUGAACAUUCUGUCUUGCUCCUUCAGCAGUUACAAAUAACUUGACUGCUUUUCCAAAGAUGAAACAAGAUUCUGAAGGUGAAAUAUUCCGUCCAGUUUGCCCUCAGUGGAAGGAGAUCCCAGAAACAUCGUCUUUUGUGAGUAGACACUGUUGACUGUGUACCCACACCCGCUUCCCCCUCUUACUUGCUAAUUAAGCAAAGGCCAUAGUUUUGAAGCUAUUGAACCUCUUUUCGGGACCCUCUUGCAAUUCCACUUCGUUUUCCAGUGUCCGGAAGGGGGCCUGUGACCCUAACCUGGCUCACUCGGCCUAAGAGAAAGUCUGCUGGGGAGUAGGGAGGGAGGAGCUUGUGAAAACUAUAGUCUUUCUCUUAAAAAAAUAACAGCCACACAGAAGCUCAUAAUGAAAAAGUGUUUGCCUUGUCUCGCUGUCAUUGGAUGGGGAUGUGAUAGUGCAAGCUGUGACAGCUGUGUGAACACAAUAUGGUGCACACCUGAGGGCAGGUGCUGAGGCGCUGAGAUGGUAAAGGAAGAAUGGGUGACCGUGACGAGGCCACUGUGCCACUGGGACUGUCUGCAGCAGUCUCAUCUCUGACUUGUCUGGUAAAGUACAAAGCUAAGGAACCUGAUCUGUGGGUAGCUGAUCCUAACUCGUACAAAUGCAUAUGCACUUUGCAAGGCAUAUAGAGUCCUUUGUAAUAGCACAUUAAUUCAUAGCCUCCCCCUCCCCACGAUACCUAUUAAAUGAAUGCUAUGGUCUAGAUCUAGAAUGUCCCCAAAGCCUCACAUAUUCACAGGCAGGGCUUUUGGAAGGUAACUGAGUUAGGGGUACUUCUCUGACUUGCCAAUUACGGCCUGAUCCUAACCCUGGUCUGGAAGGGUAUAUUUGUUUCCCCAUUUCCUCUCUGCUUUUCUGCUUCCUGGCUGCCAUACAGUGAGCAGUUCUCCUCCACCAGACCCUUCCACCAGACCCUUCCAGCUUUAGACCCAACUGACCAUGGACCAAGACUGUGAGCCAAAACAAACCUCUCCCUCCUUAAGCUGAGGGUGUUGUGUAUUUUGUCUUCACAAUGAGAAAAAUAAAACAAAACACUUUCUAUAUUCACAGUAUCAUUAUUGAUACUUCUUUAUUGACUUUUCUAUUAAAAACAGAUUUUUCUGUCAUAAUGUUAUAAAUAUUUUACCCAAUUAGCU
ensembl:lincRNA